rnacentral:sRNA from 1 species
CGCGGCUCUGUGUCCCCUGCUAGCCGUAGGCCGUGUGACCCGCAGGCACCGGGAGAUCCAGAAGUGAAACGCCAGGCUCUCUGGAGGCCAGGAGAUGACACUGUUGACGUUCAGGGAUGUGGCCAUAGAAUUCUCCCUGGAGGAGUGGAAAUGCCUGGACCUUGCUCAGCAGAAUUUGUACAGGGAUGUGAUGUUGGAGAACUACAGAAACUUGUUCUCCGUUGGUCUCACUGUCUCUAAGCCAGGCCUGAUCACCUGCCUGGAGCAACGAAAAGAGCCCUGGAAUGUGAAGAGACAGGAGGCAGCAGACGGACAUCCAGCAUCCGCAAACGUUUAGCUUGUCUUUAUAUCUUGACAAUUGUGAAUAAUGCUGCAGUGAACAUGAGGGAGCAGAUAAUUCUUCAAGAUGCUGCUUUUAUUCCCUUCAGUUAUUAUAUACACAGAAGUGUGAUUGCUGCGUUGCAGGGUAGGUUUAUCUUUUUUUAACUUUUAAAUAACGCCCCUCCACCCUGGUUUUCAUAAUGACUCUACCAGUUGAGAACUCUGAGCGUUCAGAAUUGUUUUUUCUUUACAUCCUUAUCA